AGAGUUUGAUCCUGGCUCAGGACGAACGCUGGCGGCGUGCCUAAUACAUGCAAGUAGAACGCUGAAGUCUGGUGCUUGCACUAGACGGAUGAGUUGCGAACGGGUGAGUAACGCGUAGGUAACCUGCCUCAUAGCAGGGGAUAACUAUUGGAAACGAUAGCUAAUACCGCAUAACAGUAUUUACCGCAUGGUAGAUGCUUGAAAGGAGCAACUGCUUCACUAUGAGAUGGACCUGCGUUGUAUUAGCUAGUUGGUGAGGUAACGGCUCACCAAGGCCUCGAUACAUAGCCGACCUGAGAGGGUGAUCGGCCACACUGGGACUGAGACACGGCCCAGACUCCUACGGGAGGCAGCAGUAGGGAAUCUUCGGCAAUGGGGGCAACCCUGACCGAGCAACGCCGCGUGAGUGAAGAAGGUUUUCGGAUCGUAAAGCUCUGUUGUAAGAGAAGAACGUGUGUGAGAGUGGAAAGUUCACACAGUGACGGUAUCUUACCAGAAAGGGACGGCUAACUACGUGCCAGCAGCCGCGGUAAUACGUAGGUCCCGAGCGUUGUCCGGAUUUAUUGGGCGUAAAGCGAGCGCAGGCGGUUUGAUAAGUCUGAAGUAAAAGGCUGUGGCUUAACCAUAGUACGCUUUGGAAACUGUCAAACUUGAGUGCAGAAGGGGAGAGUGGAAUUCCAUGUGUAGCGGUGAAAUGCGUAGAUAUAUGGAGGAACACCGGUGGCGAAAGCGGCUCUCUGGUCUGUAACUGACGCUGAGGCUCGAAAGCGUGGGGAGCGAACAGGAUUAGAUACCCUGGUAGUCCACGCCGUAAACGAUGAGUGCUAAGUGUUGGAGGGUUUCCGCCCUUCAGUGCUGCAGCUAACGCAUUAAGCACUCCGCCUGGGGAGUACGACCGCAAGGUUGAAACUCAAAGGAAUUGACGG
rnacentral:rRNA from 1 species